GCCUUCCGGCUCCGGCGGCGACGCUCGCUGCCUGCUGUCUGCUGCCGCCGCCGCGCCGCCGCCGCUGCCGCCGCCGCCGGUGUCAGCCUCCCUCGGGAGACUCCAUUUGCUCUCAGGUUGGUUCGGCCGCCGCGAAGGCAGGCGGAGAGCGAUGCCUCCGGCCCGCGGACUGGCGUCCCCUGGGCCAAGCGCCCGCCUGCUCGCUGGCUGGCUGCGGCGGUGACAUCCUGGUCGCUGGCGUCCACGGAGGAAUCCGGGCUCCCACGGAGCAAAGACGUCCGGCGUUCCGGAGCUCUCCGUGCGGGGAGAGGCCCUUGCUAACGCGGCUCCUCUCUGACCUCUUAAUUUCAGGAGGCGUACAACUGUCCUGAUUUAUCUUGCCAUAGCUUAUACUUGAGAGAUACUAAAGACAUUAUUGAAGAUUAUAUUAUCAAGAUUUACAUCUUAAGAAAUAACUAAAGACAAGAGACCUGAAUAUGAGGAAUUUCAGAAAACGCCCUCCUAUUAGCCAACUUUGCCUUUACUGAGACCAGUAUUUAUGGAGCACUUAAAGUUCUAAAUGCUUCUUAUAUAAAAAGCCAUGAUGACGAUUAUCUACACUUUACUGAUGGAGAAACUGAGGCACAGAAUCUGUCCAAGAAUACUAAAGCUGGGAGCCUCCGUCAUGUCGCUAAACACUCUCCAGGCCCAGGAGCUGGAAGUAAGGAAGAGGGUCCUGGGAAAGAUGGAGCAGCUACUUUCCACCAACGAGGACUGGGGAUGGGGCUCACGUCGGCACCUCAAGGAAUAACGUGCCUGGAAGAGCCUUCUGGAAGGAUCCCUGUGUGCACACAAAGAAGAGUCGUGUGAGAACACACAAGGCCAGCUGCUUACAAAACGUGCCUCGGAAUGAAACCUACCUUGCUGGCACCACGAUCUUAGACUUCCCAGCCUCCCAAACCGUGAGAAAUAAAUGUCGUUUAAGCC
rnacentral:lncRNA from 1 species